CCCCAUGUAGCUCAGUGGUAGAGCGGCGGUCUGAAGAGCCGCGCGUCGGAGGUUCGAUUCCUCCCUAGGGGGCCA
rnacentral:tRNA from 1 species